CGUGCGGCAGCUUACACAUGCAGUCGAGCGGUAACAGAUCUAGCUUGCUAGAUGCUGACGAGCGGCGGACGGGUGAGUAAUGCAUAGGAAACUGCCCAGUAGUGGGGGAUAGCCCGGGGAAACCCGGAUUAAUACCGCGUACGCCCUUCGGGGGAAAGCAGGGGAUCUUCGGACCUUGCGCUAUUGGAUGUGCCUAUGUCGGAUUAGCUAGUUGGUGGGGUAAAGGCCUACCAAGGCGACGAUCCGUAGCUGGUCUGAGAGGAUGAUCAGCCACAUCGGGACUGAGACACGGCCCGAACUCCUACGGGAGGCAGCAGUGGGGAAUAUUGGACAAUGGGGGCAACCCUGAUCCAGCCAUGCCGCGUGUGUGAAGAAGGCUUUCGGGUUGUAAAGCACUUUCAGUGAGGAGGAAAAGUUAGUCAUUAAUACUGGCUAGCCUUGACGUUACUCACAGAAGAAGCACCGGCUAACUCCGUGCCAGCAGCCGCGGUAAUACGGAGGGUGCAAGCGUUAAUCGGAAUUACUGGGCGUAAAGCGCGCGUAGGUGGUUUGAUAAGCGAGAUGUGAAAGCCCCGGGCUUAACCUGGGAACGGCAUUUCGAACUGUCAG
rnacentral:rRNA from 1 species